rnacentral:rRNA from 1 species
GACGAACGCUGGCGGCGUGCCUAAUACAUGCGAGUAGAACGCUGAAGCGAGGAGCUUGCUCUUCUUGGAUGAGUUGCGAACGGGUGAGUAACGCGUAGGUAACCUGCCUUGUAGCGGGGGAUAACUAUUGGAAACGAUAGCUAAUACCGCAUAACAAUGGAUGACACAUGUCAUUUAUUUGAAAGGGGCAAUUGCUCCACUACAAGAUGGACCUGCGUUGUAUUAGCUAGUAGGUGAGGUAAUGGCUCACCUAGGCGACGAUACAUAGCCGACCUGAGAGGGUGAUCGGCCACACUGGGACUGAGACACGGCCCAGACUCCUACGGGAGGCAGCAGUAGGGAAUCUUCGGCAAUGGGGGCAACCCUGACCGAGCAACGCCGCGUGAGUGAAGAAGGGUUUCGGAUCGUAAAGCUCUGUUGUAAGUCAAGAACGGGUGUGAGAGUGGAAAGUUCACACUGCGACGGUAGCUUACCAGAAAGGGACGGCUAACUACGUG